GACGAACGCUGGCGGCGUGCUUAACACAUGCAAGUCGAACGGAAAGGCCCUGCUUUUGUGGGAUGCUCGAGUGGCGAACGGGUGAGUAACACGUGAGUAACCUGCCCUUGACUUUGGGAUAACUUCAGGAAACUGGGGCUAAUACCGGAUAGGAGCUCCUGCUGCAUGGUGGGGGUUGGAAAGUUUCGGCGGUUGGGGAUGGACUCGCGGCUUAUCAGCUUGUUGGUGGGGUAGUGGCUUACCAAGGCUUUGACGGGUAGCCGGCCUGAGAGGGUGACCGGCCAAAUUGGGACUGAGAUACGGCCCAGACUCCUACGGGAGGCAGCAGUGGGGAAUAUUGCACAAUGGGCGGAAGCCUGAUGCAGCAACGCCGCGUGCGGGAUGACGGCCUUCGGGUUGUAAACCGCUUUCGCCUGUGACGAAGCGUGAGUGACGGUAAUGGGUAAAGAAGCACCGGCUAACUACGUG
rnacentral:rRNA from 1 species